rnacentral:rRNA from 1 species
GCUAAACGCGAAGAACCUUACCUACUCUUGACAUCCACAGAAGAGACCAGAGAUGGACUUGUGCCUUCGGGAACUGUGAGACAGGUGCUGCAUGGCUGUCGUCAGCUCGUGUUGUGAAAUGUUGGGUUAAGUCCCGCAACGAGCGCAACCCCUAUCCUUAUUGCCAGCACGUAAUGGUGGGAACUCGUAACCGGGGUUAACGACUGCCGGUGAUAAACCGGAGGAAGUGGGGACGACGUCAAGUCAUCAUGGCCCUUACGAGUAGGGCUACACACGUGCUACAAUGGCGAGUACAGAGGGUUGCAAAGCCGCGAGGUGGAGCUAAUCUCACAAAGCUCGUCGGUUUAAAAAGUCCGGAUUGGAGUCUGCAACUCGACUCCAUGAAGUCGGAAUCGCUAGUAAUCGUGGAUCAGAAUGCCACGGUGAAUACGUUCCCGGGUCUUGUACACACCG